AGAGACAAGCACUGAACAGCAGCAGAAAGCCGGUGACUAUUAACACACACUUCUUGACUUAUAUAUGCAACUGUCAGAUGGGACGAUUCAUCCACUUUGUUCAGAGCCAAAAUAUCCAGCUAUGGAGAGUGCGCCUGGGAAGCCUCUACAUUGGUGUGCAUUUCAAUAAUCUCAAAAACAUCUGCAGUACCCUUCUCCACAGACUCUUCUGACGCAGUUUGAAAAUGUUAUAUAGGUGGGAAAUUUCCGUAGCAGAAUGAAGUAUAAAUACUUAUAAACUCACAAUGAGGACGUGAGGCAAAGCGAUUCAAUCCUACAGUUGGCACUAAAACUUUGGUCCCCUGGAGCAAUUCUGUCAUCUUGACCUGAAUAUGGUUCUUCUAUAUACAUUCUGAAGAAUGGCAGUGUGUGACAGGCUUAUGUCGCUCAUGGGGCCUUUAGUUUAUGCAUUCCUGGCACAGCUCUUGCAGUAGCUCAAAACUCCUGGCAGUGUCUGUCUAUGUGGCCCUGACUUCCUAGAGCCUACUAUGAAGAUCAGGCUGUCCUCAAACUCUCAGAGAUCACUUGCCUCCCCAGUGCUGGGAUCAAAGGCCACCACACCCUGUAUAGAAUGCCCAACGACAUCUGGGACAAAGCACAGCUGUUCAUUUGGAAUGUUCUUUCAAGCCCAAGAGCCAUUGCAAAUGUGUUUGUCCUUAUGCCCAUAUCCUCAAGUAAAGACAAGUUUAGAGAGUAACAGAAAUAUACAAUAUUAUACAAGGCA
rnacentral:lncRNA from 1 species